rnacentral:rRNA from 1 species
UACCCGAUAGAUCUCGACUGCUGGAAUGCAUCGAGAUCGAAAGCUCCGACGCCUAAGGAUGGGUCUGCGGCCUAUCAGGUAGUAGUGGGUGUAGCGUACCUACUAGCCUACGACGGGUACGGGUUGUGAGAGCAGGAGCCCGGAGAUGGAUUCUGAGACACGAAUCCAGGCCCUAUGGGGUGCAGCAGGCGCGAAAACUUUACAAUGCUGGAAACAGCGAUAAGGGGACCUCGAGUGCCAGGUUACAAAUCUGGCUGUCGUGAUGCCUAAAAAGCAUUGCAUAGCAAGGGCCGGGCAAGACCGGUGCCAGCCGCCGCGGUAACACCGGCGGCUCGAGUGGUAACCGUUAUUAUUGGGUCUAAAGGGUCUGUAGCCGGCCGGAUAAGUCUCUUGGGAAAUCCAGCAGCCCAACUGUUGGGCUUUCAGGAGAUACUGUCUGGCUCGAGGCCGGGAGAGGUGAGAGGUACUUCAGGGGUAGGGGUGAAAUCUUGUAAUCCUUGAAGGACCACCAGUGGCGAAGGCGUCUCACCAGAACGGACCUGACGGCAAGGGACGAAAGCUAGGGGCACGAACCGGAUUAGAUACCCGGGUAGUCCUAGCCGUAAACGAUACUCGCUAGGUGUCGGCCACG